rnacentral:rRNA from 1 species
UACGUAGGGUGCAAGCGUUAAUCGGAAUUACUGGGCGUAAAGCGUGCGCAGGCGGUUGUGCAAGACAGAUGUGAAAUCCCCGGGCUCAACCUGGGAACUGCAUUUGUGACUGCACAGCUUGAGUGCGGCAGAGGGGGAUGGAAUUCCACGUGUAGCAGUGAAAUGCGUAGAUAUGUGGAGGAACACCGAUGGCGAAGGCAGCCCCCUGGGCCUGCACUGACGCUCAUGCACGAAAGCGUGGGGAGCAAACAGG